rnacentral:tRNA from 1 species
GCCGGGAUGCCCGAGUGGACUAAGGGGCCGGCCUCGAGAGCCGGUGGGGCUUGGCCCCGCGUGGGUUCGAAUCCCACUCCCGGCGCCA